ensembl:lncRNA
GGAGGAGCAGAAAGAAGGCCAGAGUGGCUGGAGAUCGUAAUGGGGAGAGAGUUACAAGAUGAGAGACCAGCACCAGCUGAUGCGGCCAGGCCAGGUCCCAGAAGUGACUGUGUCAGGAUGGAGGGUGGCCCUGGGCAUCCUGCCAUUGAAAGCUGAUUGGAGCUGGACCAGCUUAGGCCAGUCUAGAGCUGAGGAGUAUCAUCAAGAGCAGGACCCUCUGGAAUGUGGCUGUUUGUGGAAAGAGCCAGAAGAACCCAGAGCGGGUAGAGGAAAUGUCUUCCUCCCCUACAGUGAUGUCAGAGGCCAUGUCUGCUUUGGUCAUGCUUGUCCCCUCCACACCUGACACAGUGCCCAGCACCCACCGAGUAUUGAUUGAGUGGAUGGACGGAUGCACGUUGGAGCUGAGACCCAGACUGGCCCACGUCCUCCCACACCUGCAUCCUAAGACUGCCAGCCUGGUUGGAAAAGCUGAUCAUAUCCGGGCUAGAGAUGCUCCUUAUCAAAGUCAAGGCCAAGAUCCAUGGGAAAGGAUCAGGUCACAGCAAAGGAUCCAGAGGAGCAAAUUCCCUUCCAUGAGGCAGAUGUGACCCAGCGAUUCCACUCCAGGCGUGACCAAGUGCUGAUUCCUCGUCUCCAUGAAAGGCAUUGUAGCAGGUGCAAAACCCGGAGAUUAUCCCAAGAAUUAAGAUAUGAAAAGCGUGUUAGAUCACUAAACUCCAAUUAGGGAAAUGAAAUUGUGCGCAUUCCCCUCCUAACACAAUAUCGGGGGCCUGCAUCAGCUCUGGGUGCUGGGUCUAAUGAAAUUAGAGAAUAACACUUUAAUUGAAUUGUGCUUAAAAGGAUCAUGCUGACAAAUGUGAUUGUAUCUGUCUGGGAUGCACACCUUCUCCGGCAAUCAUUAAAUCCAAUGAAAUGCUAGUCUCAGGAUCGCGACAGUUUCUGAAGCAAUCUGUGAACCGUGCUGUAUCUCGGAGCAUCUAAUCAAUUUAGAGCCGCCUCAUUAGGACUUGGCUGCUAACGGAUACUUAAAAAUCAAAGCAAAUUACUGCACUCCGUGGAUAACUAGCUAAUCAUAUCGAUACAACAUGGCUGGAUUGUGUUGCAACAAUUCAUUUCCUCUUUAAGAAGCCACUGUCACCCAUAAUUUAGGGAUUGAGAUUCAUAAGCCUGAUGCAGACAGCUCCCAUGUCAAGGAUUUUCCUGAACUCAACAGCAAGGGGUGCAUGCCACCCCAGCAAUUGUCAUGCGGUAGGACUGCUCAUCCUGGCCCCCUGCGGCUAGAUGGAUCAGGAGACCAGUUCUGGCCAAUGAGUGUGAACAGAAGGGACCUGUGUUAUUUAUGGGCCCAAGCAUGAUUGCUGGGUCAAGAUCUCCAUCAUUCUUUUCCCCUCCAGCUCAUAAACCAGCAACACUUGAGGUGGGAGCUUUUCUGAAUACAAUGAGCCGAAACUCCUCGCCCACCCACAAUGGACUUGUCGCGUGAGUGAGAAAUAAACUUGAGUUAUUGGAAGCCACUGAGCUGUUGGGGUUGUCUGUUACUGCAGGAGAACCUCGCUUGUGCUGACUGGUAGAAUUCUCACCCCUAUUUCACAGAGGAGGAAACUAAAGCACAUGGAGAUGAA